GACGAACGCUGGCGGCGUGCCUAAUACAUGCAAGUCGUACGCUUCUUUUUCCACCGGAGCUUGCUCCACCGGAAAAAGAGGAGUGGCGAACGGGUGAGUAACACGUGGGUAACCUGCCCAUCAGAAGGGGAUAACACUUGGAAACAGGUGCUAAUACCGUAUAACAAUCGAAACCGCAUGGUUUUGAUUUGAAAGGCGCUUUCGGGUGUCGCUGAUGGAUGGACCCGCGGUGCAUUAGCUAGUUGGUGAGGUAACGGCUCACCAAGGCCACGAUGCAUAGCCGACCUGAGAGGGUGAUCGGCCACAUUGGGACUGAGACACGGCCCAAACUCCUACGGGAGGCAGCAGUAGGGAAUCUUCGGCAAUGGACGAAAGUCUGACCGAGCAACGCCGCGUGAGUGAAGAAGGUUUUCGGAUCGUAAAACUCUGUUGUUAGAGAAGAAUAAGGAUGAGAGUAACUGUUCAUCCCUUGACGGUAUCUAACCAGAAAGCCACGGCUAACUACGUGCCAGCAGCCGCGGUAAUACGUAGGUGGCAAGCGUUGUCCGGAUUUAUUGGGCGUAAAGCGAGCGCAGGCGGUUUCUUAAGUCUGAUGUGAAAGCCCCCGGCUCAACCGGGGAGGGUCAUUGGAAACUGGGAGACUUGAGUGCAGAAGAGGAGAGUGGAAUUCCAUGUGUAGCGGUGAAAUGCGUAGAUAUAUGGAGGAACACCAGUGGCGAAGGCGGCUCUCUGGUCUGUAACUGACGCUGAGGCUCGAAAGCGUGGGGAGCAAACAGGAUUAGAUACCCUGGUAGUCCACGCCGUAAACGAUGAGUGCUAAGUGUUGGAGGGUUUCCGCCCUUCAGUGCUGCAGCUAACGCAUUAAGCACUCCGCC
rnacentral:rRNA from 1 species